AGAAAAAUAAAACCACAACAGAAGCCAGCCGCUCUCCCCCUACAUCUCUGACAAGCUAUUUUUCUGUGUCCUCUCUUGGCCACCAAAACAAACGUCACUAUGGAUACCCAGUGCUUUGUUUGCAUCUUACAAUUUCAAUCCUUCCCCAGGAAUUUUGAAUCUUCCAGCCCUUGAAUGGAGAAGGCGUGAAUCCCGCUGCUCUUGUCUUACUGCAUGUUGUCUAACCUAAGUCCUGCACAUCCUAGAGAGCAGACUUCCUGUUUUGCUGAGCCUGGCCGGAGUGGCUUUCUAGCACUCACAACCAAAGGAGUCCUAAAAACUUUGGAACAGGCCAGCUGGAGCCAAGAACAGGGGGCAGGCCAUCAUUGAACAGAGGACGGUACAUUCCCAAGCCAAAUAUGGUAAGCCUGGCUUGGCCAGAGGGCCCCGCUGGACCUCCUGUCCAUGCAGAACUCGGCAGAGAGGCCAGAAGGAGGAAAGAAGCCCAUUGUUCUGAGUGCCUGGCUGCAGGGUGGGAGCCAAGAGGCCCAGGGGGACAAAGUCAAAAUCCAAGGCAAGUCCCAGGCUGGAGUGGCGUGGGGGGCAUGGCUGGGAACGGGAACCCAGGGGAGCGGAAGCCAAAGAUGCCUGGAUUUCAUGGCCAAAUAGAAGGGGCAGAAAGCCCAGGAGUGGCCCAGGGUCCAGCCAGCAGGGAAGAAGACAGCCUUGGGACACCAGAGAGCCCUGACGACGGUCCCAGGGAAGGCUCUGUUCUGUGCGUGUGAAUACACCUCUUAAAGGCCCAGCACCCCUGUCACCGGCAUCUCCCUGCCAGGUAGGGCCAUUGAGAUGGAAAUCCAGUGCCUGAGCCCAAAUCAAACCUAAGUCAGAGCCAGGCCUGGUGGCACCUGUCAUCCCAGCUACUCAGGGGGCUAAGGCAGGAGGAUCACAAGUUCAAGGCCAGCCUGGAGGACUUAGUGAGAACUUGUCUCAAAAUUUAAAAAUGAAAAGGGCUAGAGGUGUAGCUCCAUGGUAAAGCGCCCCCUGGGUUCAACCCCCAGUACCCCCACCACCACCAAAAAAAAAAAAAAUCAGGAUCACAAAGCUCAUCUUAAGAGCGGUCCCUGAGGCUGAAUUCUACACCUCUUUACUUCUGUUUUCAGACCGGUCAUAGGGUCAUAGCAAGCUUGCUUAUCUACAGCUGGGCUCCUCAGCCUGGCUAUGACACUCAGGGCAGGUUGUUCUCUGCCAGAGGAGGUGCCUCCUAUACUGCAGGAUGCUUAGCAGCCUCCCUGGCCUCUACCCACUGGGUGCCAGCGGCACCCACCCUCCCAUGUGUCAACCAAAAUGUCUCCAGACAUUGCCUUAUGAUACAGAUCAUCUCAGGUGAGAUCCACUAUGCUGCAGCGACAGAUUGAGAACCAGCCAAAAAAUCAGAAAAGGCCACAGCCCAGGCCAGCCAGCUGAGCAGCAGAGCGAGGAGCAGGACAAUAGCCCUUAAGGACAGGUGGCCUAUGGCGGAGCAAGCAAUCCCACUUUGUGCUCAUCAGAGAACUAGGGCUUCCCUGCCCAGAAUGCCAUCUGUGGCUGCCUGCCUUUUGGUGAGGAGGCAGGACAAAGUCUGUUAUCCUCAUCUUCUUCUUUCACUUAAAUUAACAAAUCAAGGAGUGAAGAGGUUCAUUGAAUUAGUCUUGGGACCAAGGUCCUCCAUCCCGGCUCAGCUCUCUGGCCCCUAGACCUCCCUGAUGGACGUUCCCAGGGAGCCGCAGCAAGGUGUGACCAGGCCUGUGUGAGAAAGCGGGUGGAGGAAAUGUGUACCCACAGAGUGACAGCGCUUCCCUGGGGAAAACAGGAUUACAGGGGUCUUUGAUCCUUCUCUUAAGCAGUGCUAGACAGAGUCCGGCACCUAGUAGGCUCCCACUCAGUAUUUGUUUGAAUUAAAUGAGAUUUAGGUUUUAAUCUAAACCCAAUUAAAAUAUAAAUGAUCUAAACAAAAUUAUGGUUUACAGAUUUCUACAUUAAUUCUGUACUGCUUUGGGACCUGGAGAGUGACUUAGUCUGUUGUGGGCUGCUAUAACAGAAUACCUGAGACGGGAGAGUUUAUAAAGAAUAGAGAGCGGGGCACAGUGGUGCAUGUCUGUAAUCCCAACAGCUCAGGAGGCUGAGGCAGGAGGAUUGUGAGCUGAAAGCCGGCCUCAGCAAUUUAGCAAGGCCCUAAGCAAUUCAGUAAGAUCCUGUCUCUAAAUAAAAUACAAAAUAGGGGAUGUGGUUCAGUGGUUAAGCACCCUUGGGUUCAAUCCCUGGUACCAAAAAAACAAGAGAGAUCUAUUUCCUAUAGUUCUAGAGGCUGAGAAGUGAGACUCGGCUGACUCUGGUGAGGGCUUCUUUGCUGUGUUCUAGGAUGACAGUCGGCAUCACCUGGCCAGAGAGCAAGAGGGGGUCCAUCUCGAGAUAACUGACCCGCUGCAGCCGUGUGGACAUUAAUCCACUCCCUCGAGCCAAGCCCUCUUCAUAGGCUCCAUUUCUCAACACCGUGGUGUUGCCGGUUAAGUUACCAACACAUGAAAUCAGGGAGACGUAUUCAAGCCACAGUGGAGGGUGAUGGGUGUUCACGCCUUUCUUUCUUUUUUUGCUUUUUGAUUUGUUGUGGUUUUUGCAGGGCUGGGGAUGGAACCUAGGGCCUUGUGCAUGCCAGGCCAGUGCUCUACCACUGAUCUGCACCCCCAAUUCUAUUUUAGCUUUUUUUUUUUUUGGUGGGGAGGUACCAAGGGUUGAACUCAGGGGCGUUCAACCACUGACCCACAUCCCCAGCCCUAUUCUGUAUUUUAUUUAGAGACGGGGUCUUGCUGAGUUGCUUAGCACCUCAAUUUUGCUGAGGCUGGCUUUGAACUCCCGGUCCUCUUGCCUCAGCCUCCUGAGCCCGUGGAAUCACAGGCGUGAGCCACUGCACCCAACAAGGCUUUUUUGAUGAGAUCUUCUCAGCACUUCAGGGCCCAUCUCCAAACCUGCUUCUGUCCCAUGACCUGUCCCCUCGUCUUGCCAGUACUUUGACAUGCUACAGUUAUCAUGUAGGUCAGAGGAGUUAAGACUCUCUGUACCCACUCGGAGCCAGGUGCAUGGGGCAGACAAGCAAUGCCUGCAGGCUGGAGGUGUCUCUCUCAUUUCUUUUUUUUUUAAAUAUUUAUUUAUUUAUUUAUUUUAGUGUUCGGCGGACACAACAUCUUUGUUUGUAUGUGGUGCCGAGGAUCGAACCCGGGCUGCACGCAUGCCAGGCGUGCGCGCUACCGCUUGAGCCACGUCCCCAGCCCUCUCAUUUCUUGUUUGCAGCAGGCACUGUCCUCACUCCUCAAGGGGAAGAGAAGAUGGAGAGCUUCCCUAUGGGGUCACCAUUGCAAAAGAAGUACUGUAGCUGGGCACCUGAAAUCUCUUAAACCAUAUUCUCCUCUUUUUUCUCAGAACAUCAUGACCAAAACAUGAGCUGAGUUAGACGGAUGGCUGUCUGGCACAUGCACAGGAAGCUUGCGUGCACGCACACAAGUGCGUGUGGAUGUGUGUGGGGCUGUGAGCGUGCUUGAGUGCGUAAGUGUGCGUGGGAGGGUAUGGUGUGCUGUGUGCACAUGCGCUCUCAGGUCCUCCACAUGCAUGUUCUACUUGGGGUCAUUUGGGGUCUGCAUUCCAGUUGUUGGAAACAGAAACUGAGCCAAGAGGCCUCUUUGGAGAUCAGGGAUCUGAGUCUCGGUCCUUCCUCCUGCAGCAGAAAUGGACGCUGAGGUGGGCUCGGUGGCUCACACCUAUAAUCCCAGCAGCUUGGGAGGCUGAAGCAGGAGGAUCACAAGUUCAAAGCCACUCAGCAACUCAGCGAGGCCCUCAGCAACUCAGUGAGACCCUGUCUCUAAAUAAAAUACAAAAAAGGGCUGGGGAUGUGGCUCAGUGGUUAAGUGUCCCUGAGUUCAAUCCCAGGUACCAAAAAAAAAAAAAAAUGGAUGCUGUGGUGAAUCACACUGUUGGCUGGACAGCGGGGACUCCUGGCUGGGAUACAUGGCUCCCAAGCUGCCUAAGUGAUGUCACCAUCAGACCUUCCUAUAGGGAAAGCUCCAGCAAGACGGCCCCUAGCACAGUGUGAGGCUCUGGACCGUGGCCACUGACCGGAAGGAUUACAUCUCAGGAUGUCAAGGUCGGGGCACACAGUUUGGCCUGUGUUCAGAGACUUGAGGGAUCCUUCACCCUCUCUUUGGUUUUUGGGGUUUUGUUUGUUUGUUUGUUUUUGUACCAGGAAUUGAACCCAGGGUGCUUAACCACUGAGCCACAUCCCCAGCCCUUUUUGUAUUUUAUUUAGAGACAGGGUCUCACUGAGUUGCUUAGGGCCUUGCUAAGUUACCGAGGCUGGCUUUGAACCUGCAAACCUCCUGCCUCAGCCUCCCGCAUGUUGCUAGAAUUGCAAGUGCACACCACCGUGCCCAGCCCUUCACCCCCUCUGUGAAGAGGUGAGCAGGGAGCCAUGCCAUUCCUCCUGGUCCAGGAGAUUCACAUCCUGGGAAUUCCCAAGGCUCUGCCCUUAAAGAUCUAAUUUGAAAUCCAAAUUCAGCCGUGGGAGAAGCCGACCUCCUCAUCCGAUUCUGGUUCUUAGUCCAGGGUACAAGACGAGAUCUCACGCCUGCUCUGCUGGUGGGAAUUUGGCAUGAGACUUGUGCCCUGAGAACAGCAGUCAUGGAAAGACCCUGGGGCUCCCUCUCAGGGAGGCCAAGAUGAACCAGGAACUGCUGGGCCAGCGGGAGAGGCACAGCAGAGAAGCCGCUCAAGGUCACCUUAAGAAGACACUUUGGGGGACAUGGCCCAGGCGCCCUGCCAAGUGCUGCAUCAAACGCCGGCUCAGGGAUCUUCAAAGCAAUGCCCAAGGGCACUGGGGCCUGAAGCUGCUCAGCAGACAGAGCAGCAAACCCAGGCUCAGAAAUCGGAAGUGACUUUCUUGUUAUCACACAGCUAUCGAGUGGCAGAGCCAGGAUUCAAACAAGGUCAGGAAUGAAGUACAAAAUGUCCAGCAAUCAAUAGAGCGGCUGGAUAAACAAUGGUUUAUUUAUGGAAUACUGGGCAGCCGCUGACAUUUCUUGGUAGAAAAAUAUUGAAUGGCCUGGAAAGAUGUGCAAGAUAUGUAGCGAAGUAGAGGAAAAGAGAGGCCACCAAGCAGUGUGGGCUGCAGAUGGGUUGUUAAAAAGUAAAAUAAACAUGGCGAGACCCUGACUCAAAAGAAAAAUAAAAAGGAUGUAGCUCAGUGGUAGAACAUCCUUGAGGUCAAUCCCUAAUGCUGAUAGACAGAUAAUAAGCUAAGCUCAGUGGCUCACGCCUGUAAUCCCAGUGGCUCAGGAGGCUGAGGCAGGAGGAUUGCAAGUUCAAAGCCAGCCUCAGCAACGUAGUGAGGCCCUAAGCAAUUCAGUGAGACCCUAUCUCAACAAAAAAUAUAAAAAGGGGCUAAGGAUGUGGCUCAGUGGUUGAGUGCCCCUGGGUUCAAUUCCCAGUGCCAAAUAAUAAUAAUAAUAAUAAUAUAAAAACCAGAAAAGUAAAUACAGAGGUAUUAUUUCCCAAAAGAAAAUCAAAACAUGAGCUGUGGCAUUCUCUGGAUAACAGGAGUGGGUAAGAUUUUUACCCUUGCUUUGUCCUGUUUUCUUACGACAUUCAUUUUGUAACAAGAACAAAUCUGAUAUGGAAGUGCCCCAGCUGUGUUCCUGCAGGGACGGCAGAGGGCAGGGGGCAUGGGUGGCACUUGUUGGUGAGGGUUGAGCAAAAGCAGGAGGGUGUGGCGGGAAGCGAUGCCUUCCUAGGAAGGCAACCUGGCUCAGGCUGAGGAUCCUGUGUUGAUCAGAAUUCACUGGACUUUUCAAAGUCCAUUUCCUGCCCCGAGGUUAGCCUGCCUUUCAGCCCCUCUGAUGAAUCACACGGACCACACGUGGAGACCCGCCUCCUGUUUUGUAAUCCUCCCUGCAUUCUUAGCCAAUCUGCCAGCCAGAGCCAACCUCAGGUCCUGACAGUCAUCGCAGUGUCCUUGGUCUCAGCAGACCGUGGAGGGGUGAGCAGACUCCUGGCUCAGACCCUGAGGGGGCAAGAAGUGGCUGGGUCAAAUGCCUUGUGCCGUCAGUAAGAAGCAUUCUGCCAUCCCCCCAACCCUCCCCUGCUCUCUGCUGAGACUCUCCGGGGAAGAGGGGAUUCUCAGACAACCCUUUGGCCACUGCACUUGGCUCUUGCCUGGAAUAAUUAGAGACAGAGCCAGGAAUGAUGUCAUGCCUCUGCAGGAGAUGGAGGAUGACUUUGAGCAAGGCCUUGGCCUCGGCCCUCUCGUUUGUCAAGCAAGUUGGGGUGGACUUGACAAGUUCUAGCAUUCCAGCUCCAGCAUCCUGAUGUGAAGACAGUCAUCCCCCUGGCAAAUCACACUCGAAGAGAGUGGAGGCCCAGCUUUGCACACUCAAGUCCCUUCUCACCCUCUUCCUCCAAAUUCCCCAGGGAACCCUGCUUCCUCUCCUGGUUCUACCCACAUGGCUGUCAAUCAAGGCGCCCCACCUCCUUCCAGGGCGUGGUGCCUACUCCAGAGGCUGAGGCAGGAGGAUCACAAAUUCAAGGCCAGCCUCAACAAUGUAGGUGGGUCCUAAGCAACUUCAGGGAGACCCUGUCUCCAAAUUUAAAAAUAAAAAGCUCUGGGAUGUGGCUUGGUGGUUAAGUGCCCCUGGGUUCAAUCCCUGAUGCCCAGAACAAAAAGGAAUGGAGGGUGGUAAGCACAAGGCUUGGGCUCCAUCCCCAGAACCAAAAAGAAAGAACAAGGUUUAUUUGACUCACAGUUUUGAAGGCUUCAGCCUUAGACAAUUGGCCCCCUUGUUUUGUUGUUUUGUUUUGUUUUGGGUACCAGGGAUUGAACCCAGGGGCACUCAACCACUAAACCACAUCCCCAGCCCUGUUUUGCAUUUUAUUUAGAGAUAGUUUCUCACUGAGUUGCUUAGCGCCUCACUUUUUCCUGAGGCUGGCUUUGAACUCAUGAUCCUCCUGCCUCAGCCUCCCCCCGUGCUGCCAGGAUUACAGGUGUGCACCACUGUGCCAGGCAGUCCCCCUUGUUUUUGGACCUCUGGAGAGACAGCACAUUAUGGGGGCAGGAAAUGGCAAAAUUCUCACCUCAAAACAGAGAGGAAGAGGAAGAAACUGAGGUCUCCCAACAUCCCUUUCAAGAUCACUCCCCAGUGACUGGAAGGACCAAGCCUUUAACACCAGGUCUAUGGGGGACAAUUAUCCAAACCCCGAUAGGAAACACAGAAGCUACGUUUGGGCUGGACACGGGAACUGUGAUGCCCAUCUUGCAGCAAGCUGUCCCCAGGAGCUGGGAGUGGACGGGGCCUCUGGAUGCAGGGCACACCAGUGUGUGCUCCACAAUCAAUGCUCACCCUGUCAUGGGAGGCUGGCACCCUCUAGCACUGGGAAUGCCGGGACCUGGAGUAGAAUUAGCCCGUCAGGCCCUGCUGAUACGUGGCAUUUGGAAUCAUCCCCUCACUGCCUCAAGCUGACAGAGGACGCUGGCCCCAGCCACAAGGCCAAGGAAGAUCUGGGUCUUCAUGUCAUGGGUGGUAGAUCAGUGCCGAUCAGUGUUCCUGAAUGGUGUCGUCCAGGAUUCCAGUGCUGAAUCCUAUCCCACUGUGACUGUGGUGGAGAUGGGGCCUCUGGGAGGUGAUUAAGGUUGAACAAGGUCACCCCGGGGGGGGGGGGGGGGUGUCUUAUCCCAAAGAAUUGUUGGCCUUCCAAGAAGAGGAAGAGACUGCUGGCUCUCCCUGAUGCCACACAUCUGCGUGCUCUUUCCCUCCCACCUCCCAGGGACAUGCCACGUGGGCACAGUGGAAGGCCGCCAUCUAUAAGCCAUGAAGAGGACCCUCACCUGAACCUUGCUGUGUUGGCUCCUAGUCUUGAACUUCCAGCUCCCAGAACCGAGAAAAUAAAGACCUGUUACGUAAACUA